UUGACCUCAAAUCAGGUAAGACUACCCGCUGAACUUAAGCAUAUCAGUAAGCGGAGGAAAAGAAACUAACAAGGAUUCCCCUAGUAACUGCGAGUGAAGCGGGAAAAGCUCAAAUUUAAAAUCUGGCAGUCUUUGACUGUCCGAGUUGUAAUUUAGAGAAGUGAUACCAGCGCUGGACUGUGUACAAGUCUCCUGGAAUGGAGCGUCAUAGAGGGUGAGAAUCCCGUAUAUGACACAGUUGCCAGGGCACAAUGGUACGCUCUCAAAGAGUCGAGUUGUUUGGGAAUGCAGCUCAAAAUGGGUGGUAAAUUCCAUCUAAAGCUAAAUACAGGCGAGAGACCGAUAGCGAACAAGUACCGUGAGGGAAAGAUGAAAAGAACUUUGGAAAGAGAGUUAAACAGUACGUGAAAUUGUUGAAAGGGAAACGCUUGAAGUCAGUCAUGUUGCUGGAAAUCACACUUGCUUUUUGCUUGUGGCUCUUUCCUUUGCAAUGGGUCAGCAUCAGUUUUGGUUGUUGGAUAAGAGUCAGAGGAAGGUGGCAUCCUUGGAUGUGUUAUAGCCUCUGAUUGCAUGCAAUGACGGAGACUGAGG
rnacentral:rRNA from 1 species